UAUAACGGUUAGUCGAGGCUCUCGGCUCUGAUUGGCUCAAUCGUGUUAGUAGCUUCUGCAAAUUACCAGAUAAAUCUUUUUCUCUCUCUCUCUCUUCGAGCCAGACUUCACCACGAGGUGGGAUGUUUCCAGAAAUAAUCCCAGACGUCCAGCCUCCAGACCUGAAGCUGUUUUAAUCCUCAGUUAAAGGGUUUUUUUUUUUUUUUUACUUCACUUCUGCUUCUUAACAACAUCAGUCUGAUCUGAUUGAACUUACAGCAUUGAUCUGCUUCCCUCCACACCUGUGUGUUUAAUGAGCCCGGCCCUGUUACCUGUCUGCUCUCCCUCCACACCUGCGCUGCAUCUUCCUCAUUAGCUCGUCGCUGCUUCCAGUGUUUUUCCAGCUUUUUUUUUUUUUUCCACCCGAGCAGCUCCGUCUCUCCGUGUCCUGUUUUUUUUCCCGUUCACUUCCCUCACCUGUGUUUCUCCGCCUCACUCCACCUGCACCUCAUCUCAUUGUUAGUUCAGACUUUUCUUCUCUGUGCUGUUUCCAGAUGUUCCUCCUAGUCUGCAUGUUUCCAGGAGUUCCUGAGAUUCCCUAUUAAUCCUCGUCCAGUCAGACGUCCGCGGCUGAAGGUGGACGACUGACUCUUCGGUGGGGGAGGAAGAGUAGAAUUUAACCUUUGAUUUUUCAAAUGAAAACUUCCUCGACCGUGGAAACCUUCACGGCACGAGUCGGGAUUUGCAGUCGGGUCAGGAGUUGGAAGUUUCACCUGUCCCUGAUUAGCCUCCCGUGUGUUUUCCUCUCCGUCUUCUCCAGACUGCAGCUCAAAGUCAAAUCAGGACGGACGACUGAUGGAAGAGGACUCAGAGACGACUUCUUCUUUUCUAAUAUUUGUUCUUGUGGAAAAAAAAAGAGUGUUUCUUGGGGUUAAUCAGUAAAUAAAUGGUUUCCAUGAUGCGGUUCUUUGAUUCCCUCUGUUGUGUUGCCUGUUUGAAACUACUGACGGGUUGAAUUUGUCUUCCUCUAAACUUUUAUGUCUUCUCAACAGGCUUGGAGAAACUUUGCUAGCGUGGCAGCAACAUAACGUAUAAUUCAACGCUCCAAAAUAAUAUCCGAUGUUGUGUAACAAGAACACUUUUUCAAAUGUUUGCAUCAGAUUUCCAGGGACAAUCGUCCAAGUCACCAGGACAUAAUGUUGGCAGGUGGUGUCUCAGACACGUCCAAGUUCCUUACGUGUGAAAUUACAGGAUAUUUUUUGACGAGGCCCGACAGCUUUCCUACGUUUGUCAGCACGACACCACCUGAUAUUUUUAAGGAGGAACUCGG